GCCUGAGUGACGAAAUUGGUAGACGUAGCGGAUUCAAAAUCCGCCGAUGAAUAAUCGUGUCGGUUCGAGUCCGACCUCAGGCACCA
rnacentral:tRNA from 4 species